GGCGGUUGCUGCUCAAAACUCUCCGCUGGGGUAGAGGAGGAGUGACGGAAGGCGGAAGUACGGGGAGAGGACGGGAUGUAUCCGGGUCCUUGUGCCGUUACCUACGAAUUGCCUAGUGACUGUGUUGACAGAGGCCCACCUGAAAUCGUAAAUAUUCUAUUACCUGAAAGGUAAGCUUGUAGUUCUCCACAAGAUUUCCGUGAUACCUUUCUCCAAUAUAAGCCACUUUAGCGCGGAUAAAUGAUUCCGCGUUAGGGGCUUCGGACAUCUACCAAGAUCAGUUAACCUCGGGCCCACACCCCAAAACAAACCAGUGCCUCCUGUGAAUCUCCCUACUGAAAUUUCCUGUUGUGGUACCACCCGAAAAGGGAGGGUCUAGUAAAUUUGUCUGUCAGCUCUAGCAUCACCUGAAAAUAAACCUCCAUGAAAAAGC